GACGAACCGUGCGAACGUUGUUCGGAAUCACUGGGCUUAAAGGGCGCGUAGGCGGGCCGGACGGUCCGGGGUGAAAUCCCCCCGCUCAACGGGGGAACGGCUCCGGAUACCGCCGGCCUCGAGGGGGGUAGGGGCGAGCGGAACGCUGGGUGGAGCGGUGAAAUGCGUUGAUAUCCAGCGGAACUCCGGUGGCGAAGGCGGCUCGCCGGGCCCUCUCUGACGCUGAGGCGCGAAAGCCAGGGGAGCAAACGGG
rnacentral:rRNA from 1 species